rnacentral:lncRNA from 1 species
GUAGAUACUUUGUGCUGUUUCAGAGAGUCUUGGAGCAUUCAACAUACCUGCAUUUGGCCAAAAGGAUGUGCUAUGGGAAAUCUGCAUGUUUCUGAAGUGGCAGCUGGAGAUCAGAUACAAUAUUCUAGGAUUCCUACAGAAAUACAUGUAAUGGGUUGCAACGGAAUCCCAUUCCUGGGUGAGCUUUGGACAGCUAUGGAAUUAAGGAAGCAUCUAGAGGCUGACUACUCAGCUCUGCACUAUUUGGACAGUCAAAUCUUUGCUAUGCUUAUGGAAAGGACCUUACAUGAGAAAGACUCCUGUGUUCCUGGUGUUUGGGUGUCAUUUUGAAAUAAAAGUGAGAGUAAUCAUUUUCUUGGUAAUCCUACCUGGGACCCUGCAUGGACCUGGGACCCUAUGCCCAAAUGGAUCCUAUGCUGCAACUUCUUGGAUGGAACAAAAACUUCCUGCUAAUUGACACAUCACCUUGCUCCAGUCUGCUGACCAUUCCAGGUAAGUCAGACACUUUUGUUGUGCAGUGUGUUUCUUGUUUUCUAAAUUACCAGUGAAAGUCUUGCUAAAUUAAAGCAAACGUGUGUUGCCUUACCCCGUGCUUCAGACUGAUGCAUAUUAAAGUGAACAUUGCUACUAAAUACUCAGAAAAAGUCAUUGCACUUAGUACCUUGAGUUAUGCAUAUGACCAUAAAAGUGAGAUUACACCACUUGUGAUUUGUAAUGUACAGUGUCACAGGCUGGCUUUCAGAACUGAAUGCACAGUUCAAGCACUCGCUUUCCAAAUGGAAGUCUAAUUGUUCUAUUAAAAUAUCAGUCCUCAAGUUUAUGGUUUAAUUCAAAUCUUUAAGAAGACCUUCCUCCCUUGAGGUUGUUUGUUUGGAGAAAUAUUUAGCUGUAUCUUAUUUAAGAGAUGCAAAUGUUUCAUAAAACCUUUCUGAAGCUUUUUCUGAAGCCUAAAAGUGUUUUGUUUUGCCAGCUGUCUUUGAAAGUUCAG